GCAUAUCAAUAAGCGGAGGAAAAGAAACCAACCGGGAUUGCCUCAGUAACGGCGAGUGAAGCGGCAAGAGCUCAAAUUUGAAAGCUGGCCCCUUCGGGGUCCGCAUUGUAAUUUGCAGAGGAUGCUUCGGGUGCAGCCCCCGUCUAAGUGCCCUGGAAUGGGCCGUCAGAGAGGGUGAGAAUCCCGUCUGGGAUGGGGUGCCUGUGCCCGUGUGAAGCUCCUUCGACGAGUCGAGUUGUUUGGGAAUGCAGCUCUAAAUGGGUGGUAAAUUUCAUCUAAAGCUAAAUAUUGGCCGGAGACCGAUAGCGCACAAGUAGAGUGAUCGAAAGAUGAAAAGCACUUUGAAAAGAGAGUUAAACAGCACGUGAAAUUGUUGAAAGGGAAGCGCUUGCGACCAGACUCGCCUCCGGGGUUCAGCCGGCAUUCGUGCCGGUGUACUUCCCCGGGGGCGGGCCAGCGUCGGUUUGGGCGGCCGGUCAAAGGCCUCCGGAAUGUAGCGCCCUUCGGGGCGCCUUAUAGCCGGGGGUGCAAUGCGGCCAGCCUGGACCGAGGAACGCGCUUCGGCUCGGACGCUGGCAUAAUGGUCGUAAACGACCCGUCUUGAAACACGGACCAAGGAGUCUAACAUCUACGCGAGUGUUCGGGUGUCAAACCCGUACGCGCAGUGAAAGCGAACGGAGGUGAGAGCCCCCCCGUGGGGCGCAUCAUCGACCGAUCCUGAAGUCUUCGGAUGGAUUUGAGUAAGAGCGUAGCUGUGGGGACCCGAAAGAUGGUGAACUAUGCCUGAAUAGGGCGAAGCCAGAGGAAACUCUGGUGGAGGCUCGCAGCGGUUCUGACGUGCAAAUCGAUCGUCAAAUUUGGGGUAUAGGGGCGAAAGACUAAUCGAACCAUCUGGUAGCUGGUUCCUGCCGAAG
rnacentral:rRNA from 1 species